GUACGUAGGGCGCGAGCGUUAUCCGGAAUUAUUGGGCGUAAAGCGCGCGCAGGCGGUUCCUUAAGUCUGAUGUGAAAGCCCACGGCUCAACCGUGGAGGGUCAUUGGAAACUGGGGAACUUGAGUGCAGAAGAGAAGAGCGGAAUUCCACGUGUAGCGGUGAAAUGCGUAGAGAUGUGGAGGAACACCCGUGGCGAAAGCGGCUCUCUGGAACGGUACUGACGCUGAGACGCGAAAGCGUGGGGAGCGAACAGG
rnacentral:rRNA from 1 species